GACGUCACAAGCUUCCAAGAUGGCGCUGGGCGGGCGGCUGUGAGCGGCGCUCGGGGCGCGCUAGGCGGGGAGCCGAGCCGGGCUGGCGGCAGGCGGACGGGGCGGGCGCGUGCGGCGCGAGCCGGGCGCUGAGGACAAGGGCCGCUGGUAGGGCCGGCCGGCCGGCGGGCGGAGCGCCGCCGCCGACGCACACGAGGUGACCAGGCAUUGAUGCACCCCCAGGAAGGCCACGGGCUCAGGAGGCCCCCCCGCCCCGCUGGCUGCUGCUCACAUGGUGUCUGGGCCCUUGGCACUCUGUUCAUGCGGGAGAUGGCAGGGGCUGGCACAUGACAGUGGAGCAGAAAUUUGGCCUGUUUUCUGCUGAGAUAAAGGAAGCAGACCCCCUGGCUGCCUCGGAAGCAAGUCAACCCAAACCCUGUCCCCCCGAAGUGACCCCCCACUACAUCUGGAUCGACUUCCUGGUGCAGCGGUUUGAGAUCGCCAAGUACUGCAGCUCUGACCAAGUGGAGAUCUUCUCCAGCCUGCUGCAGCGCUCCAUGUCCCUGAACAUCGGUGGGGCCAAGGGGAGCAUGAACCGGCAUGUGGCGGCCAUCGGGCCCCGCUUCAAGCUGCUGACCCUGGGGCUGUCCCUCCUGCAUGCCGAUGUGGUUCCAAAUGCAACCAUCCGCAAUGUGCUUCGCGAGAAGAUCUACUCCACUGCCUUUGACUACUUCAGCUGUCCCCCAAAGUUUCCUACUCAAGGAGAGAAGCGGCUGCGUGAAGACAUAAGCAUCAUGAUUAAAUUUUGGACCGCCAUGUUCUCAGAUAAGAAGUACCUGACCGCCAGCCAGCUUGUUCCCCCAGCUGACAUCGGCGACCUCCGGGAGCAGUUAGUAGAGGAGAACACAGGCUCCUUGUCGGGCCCAGCGAAGGACUUUUACCAGCGGGAGUUUGAUUUCUUUAACAAGAUCACCAACGUGUCGGCUGUCAUCAAGCCCUACCCUAAAGGCGACCAGAGAAAGAAGGCUUGUCUGUCGGCCCUGUCUGAAGUGACGGUGCAGCCAGGCUGCUCCCUGCCCAGCAACCCUGAAGCCAUUGUGCUGGACGUCGACUACAAGUCUGGGACCCCGAUGUAGAGUGCUGCAAAAGCCCCAUAUCUGGCCAAGUUCAAGGUGAAGCGAUGUGGAGUUAGUGAACUUGAAAAAGAAGGUCUGCGGUGCCGCUCAGACUCUGAGGAUGAGUGCAGCACGCAGGAGGCCGACGGCCAGAAGAUCUCCUGGCAGGCAGCCAUCUUCAAACUGGGAGACGACUGCCGGCAGGACAUGCUGGCCCUGCAGAUCAUCGACCUCUUCAAGAACAUCUUCCAGCUGGUCGGCCUGGACCUCUUUGUUUUUCCCUACCGCGUGGUGGCCACUGCCCCUGGGUGCGGGGUGAUCGAGUGCAUCCCCGACUGCACCUCCCGGGACCAGCUGGGCCGCCAGACAGACUUUGGCAUGUACGACUACUUCACACGCCAGUACGGGGAUGAGUCCACUCUGGCCUUCCAGCAGGUAGCCAGGGUGGCCACAGGCCGGGGAAAGUCGUGUGCGCUCCACCCUACCCCAGCCACCCAUACCCAGCCUCUACCCACACCCUGCUCUCCUCAGUCAUCCUUUGUUAAGGGUUAAAACCAGGGCACCUGGGCUGGGCACGGUGGCUCACGCCUGUAAUCCUAGCACUUUGGGAGGCCGAGGCGGGCAGAUCACGAGGUCAAGAGAUCAAAACCAUCCUGGCCAAAAUGGUGAACGCUGUCUCUACUAAAAAUACAAAAAUUAGCUGGGCAUAGUGGCACGCGCCUGCAGUCCCAGCUACUCAGGAAGCUGAGGCAGGAGAAUCGCUUGAACCCAGGAGGCAGAGGUUGCUGUGAGCCGAGAUUGCACCACUGCAC
ensembl:lncRNA PI4KAP1 phosphatidylinositol 4-kinase alpha pseudogene 1